AACGAACGCUGGCGGCAGGCCUAACACAUGCAAGUCGAGCGGGCGUAGCAAUACGUCAGCGGCAGACGGGUGAGUAACACGUGGGAACGUGCCCAUCAGUUCGGAACAACCCAGGGAAACUUGGGCUGAUACCGGAUACGCCCCGGACUUGAUCCGGGGGAAAGGUUUAUCGCUGAAGGAGCGUCACGCGUCUGAUUAGCUGGUUGGUGAGGUGAUGGCUCACCAAGGCGACGAUCAGGAGCUGGUCUGCGAGGAUGAUCAGCCACACUGGGACGGCGACACGGCCCAGACUCCUACGGGAGGCAGAAGUGGGGAAUAUUGGACAAUGGGCGCAAGCCUGAUCCAGCCAUGCCGCGUGAGUGAUGAAGGCCCUAGGGUUGUAAAGCUCUUUCGGCGGGGAAGAUAAUGAUGGUACCCGCAGAAGAAGCCCCGGCUAACUUCGUGCCAGCAGCCGCCGUAAAAC
rnacentral:rRNA from 1 species